GAUGAACGCUGGCGGCGUGCCUAAUACAUGCAAGUCGAGCGAACGGACGAGAAGCUUGCUUUUCUGAUGUUAGCGGCGGACGGGUGAGUAACACGUGGAUAACCUACCUAUAAGACUGGGAUAACUUCGGGAAACCGGAGCUAAUACCUGAUAAUAUUUUGAACCGCAUGGUUCAAAAGUGAAAGACGGUCUUGCUGUCACUUAUAGAUGAAUCCGCGCUGCAUUAGCUAGUUGGUAAGGUAACGGCUUACCAAGGCAACGAUGCAUAGCCGACCUGAGAGGGUGAUCGGCCACACUGGAACUGAGACACGGUCCAGACUCCUACGGGAGGCAGCAGUAGGGAAUCUUCCGCAAUGGGCGAAAGCCUGACGGAGCAACGCCGCGUGAGUGAUGAAGGUCUUCGGAUCGUAAAACUCUGUUAUUAGGGAAGAACAUAUGUGUAAGUAACUGUGCACAUCUUGACGGUACCUAAUCAGAAAGCCACGGCUAACUACGUG
rnacentral:rRNA from 1 species